CCCUUUUCCCAUCGAGUCAUUCGCUAGACUAAUUUCUCUUGUUCAUUUUUAUUUUGCAGGUUCAAAGGCUCUUCUCCUCAGUUAAUAAUACAUCGACUUCUCUCGAAUGAUCUGGUGACUCUGAUGAAAAAAUCUCUUUUGAUCUUGGAGCUCUCUCAAAAAAAGGAACUACUACCUAAAGGACUAAGAAAAAACAAGAUGAUCUUGCGAGAUUGAGAUCAGAUACACCCUCUUUGUUUGCUCCUUUCUGCUGUUUAAGGUG